rnacentral:rRNA from 1 species
UGGGGAAUAUUGGACAAUGGGGGGAACCCUGAUCCAGCCAUGCCGCGUGUGUGAAGAAGGCCUUAUGGUUGUAAAGCACUUUAAGCGAGGAGGAGGGUACUGGUAUUAAUACUACCAGGUACUGGACGUUACUCGCAGAAUAAGCACCGGCUAACUCUGUGCCAGCAGCCGCGGUAAUACAGAGGGUGCGAGCGUUAAUCGGAUUUACUGGGCGUAAAGCGUGCGUAGGCGGCUAAUUGAGUCGGAUGUGAAAUCCCCGAGCUUAACUUGGGAAUUGCAUUCGAUACUGGUUAGCUAGAGUGUGGGAGAGGAUGGUAGAAUUCCAGGUGUAGCGGUGAAAUGCGUAGCGAUCUGGAGGAAUACCGAUGGCGAAGGCAGCCAUCUGGCCUAACACUGACGCUGAGGUACGAAAGCAUGGGGAGCAAACAGG